GUACGCUGGCGGCACGCCUAACACAUGCAAGUCGAACGCAGUAGCAAUACUGAGUGGCAAACGGGUGAGUAUAAUGUGGGAAUCUGCCUUUUGGCCUGGAAUAACACGAGGAAACUUGUGCUAAUACUGGAUAAGUCUUUACGGAGAAAGCUUUAUGCACCAUUGGAUGAGCCUGCACUUGAUUAGUUUGUUGGUGGGGUAAUGGCCUACCAAGACUGUGAUCAAUAGCUGAUUUGAGAGGAUGAUCAGCCACAUUGGGACUGAGACACGGCCCAAACUCCUACGGGAGGCAGCAGUGGGGAAUUUUCCGCAAUGGGCGAAAGCCUGACGGAGCAACGCCGCGUGAGGGACGAAGGCCUCUGGGCUGUAAACCUCUUUUCUCAAGGAAGAAGAUAUGACGGUACUGAGGAAUAAGCCACGGC
rnacentral:rRNA from 1 species